rnacentral:rRNA from 1 species
CCUACGGGAGGCAGCAGUGGGGAAUAUUGCGCAAUGGGCGAAAGCCUGACGCAGCGACGCCGCGUGAGGGAUGAAGGUCUUCGGAUCGUAAACCUCUGUCAGCAGGGAAGAACGGUCACUGUGCUAAUCAGCAGUGAAUUGACGGUACCUGCAAAGGAAGCACCGGCUAACUCCGUGCCAGCAGCCGCGGUAAUACGGAGGGUGCGAGCGUUAAUCGGAAUUACUUGGCGUAAAGCGCUCGUGGGCGGUAAGUCAAGGCAAGGGGUAAAUCCUCGGGCGCAACGGUGGAAGUGCCUUUGAAACUGGCAAACUGGAGUGUGUGAGAGGAUAGUGGAAUUCCAGGUGUAGGAGUGAAAUGCGUAGAUAUCUGGAAGAACAUCAAUGGCGAAGGCGACUAUCUGGCACAUAACUGACGCUGAGGAGCGAAAGCGUGGGUAGCAAACAGGAUUAGAUACCCGUGUAGUC